UACGUAGGGUGCAAGCGUUAAUCGGAAUUACUGGGCGUAAAGCGUGCGCAGGCGGUGAUGUAAGACAGAUGUGAAAUCCCCGGGCUCAACCUGGGAACUGCAUUUGUGACUGCAUCGCUGGAGUGCGGCAGAGGGGGAUGGAAUUCCAGGUGUAGCGGUGAAAUGCGUAGAUAUCUGGAGGAACACCGGUGGCGAAGGCGGCAUCCUGGACCGACACUGACGCUGAGGAGCGAAAGCCAGGGGAGCAAACGGG
rnacentral:rRNA from 1 species